AGCCGCAAACUCAAUUAAAACCAGAGUUAGUGCACUUCGUCGACUGCCGAAAAUAAUAUAUACAGUACUCUGACAAUUAUACAAAUGGCAAUGAAAUAUUGAAGGGUGUGGUGGUGACUGGAGUAAGCAGAGCUUGAGCUGCAAAGCAUGGAUCACCGGCUGAAUCUUCAAAUAUGAUGCUCUGAAGGGACUCCGCCCGAAAUGUUUCUCUUUUCCAGAGAUGCUGCCUGGCUGCCUAGUUCCUGCAGCAUUUUGUGUGUGUUGGUUAUAUAGCUGCUUUAAACGUGGGCAUUUUGCACCUCACGUGAAGAUUUUAAAGCACCCCCAGAAAAUGAAACAUAAAGAUCGACAGAACACCCACCGUGCAAGAGGACAAAUCGUACAAAUAAUAAAAUGUAAACAAAUACCACACAGAACGUGAGUUGUGGCUGUGGCAAGUGAAGCUCCGUGGCUGCAGAGCAACAAGUGCUCCCAAACAUGACAGCGUGGGACCCAAGAUUCCUGCAUCACUGAUGUAUUUAAAAUCAUUUUGAUCAAUUUGCACUAAAAUUUUUGUUCUAAUUGAGUUCUUGUAAAAACUGUGCUCUUUCUGCUGCCAUCGUAAGUUCUCCAUUGUAUCCGUGUAUACACGUAUUUGUGCAUGUAACAAAAUCUUGACUUUUCACACAAAGAAUUAUAAGCGGAAGGAUCAACAAUUCAGACAAAAUAUUAAAAUGACUGUCAAUAGCCAAAUUUUGGCAGAAGCAAGCAUUAGUGGGUGUAAAUAGAAACAAAUUCAAUAGCAGAGUCUUGAAAGGGGGCCCCGAGUAGGCAUCUGAAGAGAAAUCUGAGAGAACUGGUUGUAGGACUUUCAGAUUAGACUAGUGGUUGAAACACAAUUGGUCAACAGCAGGUCAAAUGGCACCUUUCCUGUUGCAACCAAUAAGAAUAAUAAUGAAAUGUUGCAAAAGCACAUCUGGUUCAAUAACUUCCUUCUGGCAAUUUACCGCUACAUGCAAUACAGCUGACCUAAAAGCAAUGCCAUAGUUGUAUUAAAAUAUUGCGAGACUGAAACAAUGUAGACUUGUAAAAAAAAACCCAAUUGUUUCAAAAGGUAAUCAUUAGAUGAAAAAUAACAAUGUCCGACGAAAAACACUGUGCAACUCUAGUCAGAGUGGGAAGGAAGUCACUGCAGUAACUCAACGUCACUGGGCCAACAGAGAUGGGGAAAGUAAAAUUGGGAACAUCUCCAAGUUUUGAUUGCUACCCAGUCUCCCCCAGUGUAUGCAUGCACAUCAAUUCAAUACAGGUCUAUUCAUUUAUUUCCAAUUAAGCCUAUGUUGGUUCACUAUUCCUCCACUACCUUUCUCUGUAAUCAAUUCUCCCUACGUUCCCACCACUCUAACACCAGGGGAAAUUUCCAGUGGUCAAUCAAUAACAUAUCCUCC